AGGAAAGAAUGCUGUCUUGAGAGCCCAAGUGUAACGGGUAUAGUGCCUUGCAUGUCUCCCACUUGAAAGCCCCAUGUCUCCUUCACUAUCUGAAGUUCUGAACACACUGACAAAAGAAACAAAAAUACAAAUAGUUGGUAAGAAAAAUGUAAAAAGGAAAAAGCUGUCAACUUUGAGGGUAUCCGACAUCAUAAAAAUAAGAAUUGAAACCAAAUUUAUAAAAAUUAGAGAGAAAUGAAAGAUGGAUAUUGAUAAAAUGUGAGUGUACCAAUUGCUUGAGUUGGAGAGCAGCAUGAACAAUGCCCUUACCUCAUCAUCAUUAUGAACCUGAAACAUCCUUAGAAUUAUUAUUUUCAAAACUUUGACAAAUAAAAAUAUAAAAUUAAGUUAGGACAAAGUUCCUUAGAAAGGUAUUUAACUAAUUCUCUUUAUGCAAAUAUUUCAUAUACUUUUGGAGGAAUUUUCACUUAUAACAGAAAGCACAGUCCCUUUCUUCUUCCCCCUUUCAUCAUUAACUUACUAGAAAUUUUUCCUUGUCAGUCCUCAACUUCUAUUCUCCCAUUUCGUAAAAUAAGCCGAAAGAUUUAUAAAAAGAGUCCCCUUCAACAAUAAAAGUGAAUUUGUCCUGGUAAUUGUGCAUUUGUGAUAAUGAAAUGUAUUACAAAGUAAUACAAAACGUAUGAAAUUUAAGUAUGAGAAGCAGUAAUCAUCUCAACGAAAUCAAUUAGAAAUUGAACUUAAGUUUAAAACAUAUUCUUAGCAAAAUUUAAUUAGGAUUUAUCAAAACACUAAAAGGAGGGAAGAUAAGGAAAAUAAUGAGAACAUACAAAAAAAAAAGAGAGAAGCAAAAAGACUAAUAAAAGAAUCACAGAAACAGAAAAGCAGCGAAUCAACACUGUGUUUCAAAUUCCAUAGGAGCUAGUCAUUUUAAAAGAUUUUGCCCCAUUUCAUUGUUUGAAUAGAGCUAGUCAUUUUAAAUGAUUUUGCUCCAUUUCAUUGCUUGAAUUUGAACAAAACACCAUUUCACUCAAGUUCAAUAAUUUCAUUUAUUUCCUUAUCCGUUAAAGCAAAUAAAUUCUAGUCUAAUAUUACAUUCUGAACAAUUCAAUUCAUCUUAUAAAACCUGUAAAUAAUAAUAAUAAUAAAUAAAUAAAUAAUUUUUUUCCUCAAGCCAAUAUUUUACAUAGAGCCUUCUAUAUUUUUUCCUCCCUUAAUUUUUCUUACAGAAGCAGAAAAGUGUAACAAAGCUCUUAAUUACCACUUACCAAUAUUGGAAAGUAUGCUCAAAAUGACUCAGCUCGC
rnacentral:lncRNA from 1 species